ensembl:lncRNA
GGCUUCCCCCUCAUCCUCAAGUGUCAGGGAGCGAUGAAACUGGGAGCAGGGCAGUGCGAAAGGCGCGAGGUGGGCGCUGCUCCGUGCCCUGGGGCUGCAGAAGCUGCUGCAGCUUUAUCGGGGCUGCUGCAAUGUCAGGGUGCCGUGGGUUAGCCUGGGGUAAAGCAGCCUUGCUCCCUGGUUUUGGGGGAGGAAAAGCGUUUCGGGAAGUGGCAUUUAGAGCUGGGAAAUAAGUGAGUAGUUUAAAAAAAAAAAUCCUCAAAAGGGGCUAUUAGACAAGAAAAUGGUGGGGCCCUCUGGGUCUGCAGCCUGGGAAGCUAUUUCUGAAGUCUUGAAAUAAAACAACCCCAGACGGGGUUUCCCUCUAAUUUCCUCUGUAUUUCAAAAAGAAUAAAAUCCCCAUCUUCAGCAGCUGUACUAAUGACGUGAGCUCACACUAAGGGCUUGCAAGAAAUGGAUUCAUUGUGCUUCCUUCGCAUGGAGAAAGAUGCUGGAGACCUCAAAAACCAUAAACUUGCAUAUAACCUUAUAUUAAUAAUAUUAGUUUCAUCUAAUUAUGAUUAUGUUCAGAUUAUUAAUAACCUUACAUUAAUAUCCACCCAAAAGUGUAUCAAAAAAGAUAUUAGGGGAAAAAAAUCAGGAAACGAAGCACAUCUGUCAUCCUUUCUCUUUGAUUUGCAGGUGAGGUUUCCUUUGAAGUACAUCAGCUGUUCAGCCUCGGUGCAACCACUUUGUGUUAGCAUAAUAUGCUUUUGCAACGCAGUAUUGGGGUCCUCUUGGCUCGUGUUCUUGGCAGCAGCAUAGCAGCCCUCCCAGCUGACAGAGUGACAGUGUGAAGAAGCCAGGCAUCACCAGCCACCUCACUGGUUACAGAGACCACUGCGUGUGCGUGACCUAGAGCAAUAUCUGCCCGCUUGGGCUCAGAUUAUCAGCGACUAAACCAGCAGUCGGAGGAGAUGCGGGUGUUCAGUAAGGAUUCCUACCCGCUGUGCCCAGGCAGCCCCGUCAGCCCACUGGUCUCGUAACCAGGUCCUGGGUAAGCAGUUCAAUGCCCGUAGUUUUAUCGACUGACCUAAUACUGAAGCUGCAGGCAGAGGUGGGUUCCUACCCCUUUCUUUUUGACCUGAAACUACCAGGAGAAAUUCUCAUCUCACAGCUAACUAACUUUGCCUGCUUUCUGAAGCUGAAUUCAAACAUUUCACAACUUUUCUCCGUUGGAGGAAAUGGAGAAGAGCACAGAGGGUGUUACAGCACCCCUGGGGUGUUCGGUCCAGCCUCCUGCUCCAAGUGAGGCCACCUCCAACACUGGGCCAGGUCAGGAAGCAUCCUAAGGGACAAAGGUAGAGCUUGAAAUUAAAUUCUGCUCAAUUCUUUAUCAGCCAAUUGUUCUCCUACAGGCAAUACGUAUACUUGCAAGGCAGGAAUGAAUUUAGAGGAGAAAACGUUCAGAUGUGGCAAAAAUAGUGAAAAAUAAUAGAGAAAAAUGCCACUGUGGGUGGGCGUGAGGCUUCAGGGGCUCCUUGUGCACCAGGCAGCCGUUGAACUCAGCCUACCUGGAACAUGGGGAGCUGCACUGGAGAAGCUCUUCAUCCGCUUCAGAUGGGACACGGAGUUUCCACAGUAAAUCACCCAUCAUGGCACCAUGGCUUCAGAAGCUGCUCCAAAGCUGUAGGGGAAGCCCUGCCUCUAAGCGUGCUCUUUGCUGACACAGCUCUGAGCCCAAACCAGUUUAAAUCUCGCUCUGAGGCCCAGUAAAAGCCCAGGCUUGGCUCUGUGCUGGCCGCAGCUGCUCUGUGGAGUUGCUGGGAAUGACACCAACAAACUGUGUUUUAAUAACUCAGCGCUCGGCAUGCCUGCGCAGAGUCUGGGUACCUCCGAAUGGGAAACAGUGUGGGGUUCAACUUUGCUAAACUACAAACGCUUUUGAAUAGUCAAAUCUGCUUUGAAAACCUGUAAUAUAGUUAAUUAAGCUUCCUUUUUUUUCCCCCCGAAGUAAGACUUUGAUCUGCAGCAGUAGGAGCCAAAACCAGGCUUCAAAAUCCCUCCUUUGGCACCUGGACAAGUGUCUUCAUAUCAAAGCGCUGAGCACGCAACAACUGUCAGGGAGGGCAGGAGUUACAGGCUAAAUUUGACGUGUCUGACCUCUCGGUCUGGAAAAAUCACACUCAAACACUAAGCAAAGGACCUUCUCUUCAUUUAUUUUCAUUUACUAAGCUCCCCAGAAAAGUGAUUUCAAGUGUUUAGGACACACAAAGUGUCUUAAACAGUGGGGCUUCUGGCAAGUGCAGACAGCUGGGUAAGUGAAAAUUUGUUGGUGCCCAGCACUUGGCUUCUUUUCUACCAGCCCUAAACAAUCAGCUCCUCAAAACAGCAUCCAGAGGAUGCAAUCCUAAGGGUGUGCAAGGCGAGCCAAAUGUUUUCUGAGAGCUCUGUUAAGCGCUGGUGGCCUCACUGCCAUUGAGCCUUCCUCAAAAAAAAUCAGUGUGUGUGUGGGGGGAGCGGGUGGCUUGGGUAAUUAUUGCUUUUCCUCUCUUUGGUGGUAAGGCAAAGGAGAGGUGUUAGCUUGGGACCAAGGCUAAUAAAACUGUGAAACUCUCCUGUGGCCA